rnacentral:rRNA from 1 species
UAGGGAAUCUUCGGCAAUGGGGGCAACCCUGACCGAGCAACGCCGCGUGAGUGAAGAAGGUUUUCGGAUCGUAAAGCUCUGUUGUAAGAGAAGAACGAGUGUGAGAGUGGAAAGUUCACACUGUGACGGUAACUUACCAGAAAGGGACGGCUAACUACGUGCCAGCAGCCGCGGUAAUACGUAGGUCCCGAGCGUUAUCCGGAUUUAUUGGGCGUAAAGCGAGCGCAGGCGGUUAGAUAAGUCUGAAGUUAAAGGCUGUGGCUUAACCAUAGUACGCUUUGGAAACUGUUUAACUUGAGUGCAGAAGGGGAGAGUGGAAUUCCAUGUGUAGCGGUGAAAUGCGUAGAUAUAUGGAGGAACACCGGUGGCGAAAGCGGCUCUCUGGUCUGUAACUGACGCUGAGGCUCGAAAGCGUGGGGAGCAAACAGGAUUAGAUACCCUGGUAGUCCACGCCGUANCGAUGAGUGCUAGGUGUUGGGUCCUUUCCGGGACUCAGUGCCGCAGCUAACGCAUUAAGCACUCCGCCUGGGGAGUACGACCGCAAGGUUG